GGAAUGCUCACCCUAAAUCUGACCACCGCUCAUCACCUUGCACCACCACAAAGCGACCCAAUCUCUCCUCAGCUCGGCUUCGCCUGAGAUUUCUUCAAAAGUUUAUAUCGAAAAGCCCAAAACCACAACUUUGUUUCCCCGUUCCGAUCAUUUGGCGAAGUUCCCAGUCACGUCAGUACAGCCAGAACGCUUCCCGAGCAUACAGCAGCGUUUUCUUCACAUUCUGGCGAGACUUCGGCCACAUUCCGAUAUUGCUCUGGCGAUGAACUUGACGGUAACUGCAGGUUCAAAAAAAAUUUUCUUCUCUUUCCGGGGGGGAUUGCUGAGAAAUUACUUCUAAGCAGGGAAAGGUCGUGAUUGAUAUUGCUGUUUCUCUGUUGAUAACCUUGAGAUUGAAGUUGAAUUCAGUGGAUUGUUCUUGAAUGAAAAAGAUUGCAUAGGAGACAAUCUUUGCAUUGUGAGAAAGCAGCGCUGAAAGAAAAAGACUCAAACAGAAUAAAGAAAUUAUUUGGACCUGACCAAGGAUUUCUGCUUCCAUCAUCUUGCCCUCUGCUCUGCCUCAGGUUCUUUUCACCCCAUUGGUAAUCCCAGAUCUUGCCACAUCAUGUAUUGUCUUCUUCAUAGAAGCUUUAACGGCCAACAAGUCAAGAUCAAAACCUAGCAAAUUAGAUGUCUACCUUUACAUACCCAAUAU
rnacentral:misc_RNA from 1 species